CUCCAGUGGGAGCAGGUAGUUCCUGUUACAACUAAACCAAGAUAGACUGGCUGUUUAUCUUUUGGUUGUUUUAAAAUUGACAAUAUGACGCAUAUUUUUAAAU